GGUAGGUGUGCCUUAUGCAGUUUGAUCAUUUCCAGCAUUUGCGUAAUGAGGACUCUAGGGAGAAGCCUCGUAGUGAGACCCUGGCCAUUCACCUCGGAAGUGAAUACGGGUCUAGCUAACCCGGGCUAGAAGGGAAUCGCGACUCAUGGGUAAAGAUGCGCCACCUCUGCAGAGUGUAAAACUGAUAUAUCAGCCGUGCUCACGGUUAUGAGCAGCCUGGACUCCUCACAUGAUAAUUGAACUUGAAGAUGGAAAUAAAUCAAGAUCCGAUGAUCUGCCAAUGGUUUUGCUUAAGUGGUUUCACUUAAGUGUUUUUGAUAUACUCUUGUACCUUUGUUUAAAGGGAAUACUUGGGAUUCACACUUAUUAGUAAGACAGGUGUUGUUAAUAAAAUGUUGACCAACUAAAAUGCUUUCUGCUCAACCUCAGCCUCACCUUGUUACCUUGCAUUAGUUUUUCCCCCACUUGCUGAGCCCCGACCAUAAGUGAGCUCACCCUUGCUUAAUUUUGAUCAGAAGUUUGCAGAUGAAGAUAUGAUGCUGAACUCCAUGGAUGCUAGUCUAGUGAUACCCCCGGUCAUCUUCCUGUGGAUGGAUGUCCUUGUUUCGCUGUACUUUGAUGAAUAAAGGUUAAGACAUUAUGUCUGUUCGAAGUGUAAUAUGUUAAUAUAAUCGUUAUUUACGCUCUUAUGCAUUGUUCUUUUGAUAUAUUACACUUGUGACGUCAACAUAUGUGUGGAAAUAGAUCCUGGCACACAUAUGCUAUGCACCCGGUUCUGCCCCUCGGAGACGGGUGUGACAGAAAUGGUAUCAGAGGCAAUGUGACCGUAGGUCGCUAGAUUAGUUAGAAAUGGAAAGCCCAGUUAGUCGUUCAAAACUUGACUUAAUUGUCUCCAUAAAAACUUACUUUAUAUCAAAACUCGUCUCUUUUAUCUUCAACCUUUCUUGUCUGAUUCUUCGUCUAUCAGAAGGUUCUAAUGAGAAGCAUUGCAAGAUGAUCAAGCUAGGAUUGCGGAACUUGAAGCGAAGAUUGCCAGAAGAAACUCUUUCGAGGCUAUCGACGAUGCCUUAUUCUCUGUCUUAUCUCCACUCCGCAAGAAGUUUUGUUAUGGAUCCUCUGGAUCUAUUAUUUGACUUCUUGGCUAGGUUUAUAGGAUUGUUCUUUAGUAUUAAGAUUUCGACUAGAUCGGUAAUAGCGAUAUUAUAUUAUAUUAUAUUAUAAGUGGUUUUCUAAUCCCUAAUAUUGCUAUAUAACCCUUGACUCCUUAUACUUUUGUUUUCUUGCCAUUGUAUUGUCAUCCUUGCGCAAUAUCUACCUUGAUAUACUGAAUUCUUUGUCUCCUUACUCCUACUUGAUAAUGCUCUAUUAUUUUGUCUCCUUGAUAAUACUUUCUCCCUAACUCACUACAUAUCCUUGGUUAUAUCAUUUAUCCUCACUUUAAUAGUUCAUGGUUAUCUUUUUUCACUCUUGGCCACCAACAAAUAUGUCUUGUCUAACCCCUUGAUAACUCUUACCCAACUCCUUGAUGUUAUAAUAUCUUUCUUAUUCCAAACCUUGUCUCACCUUUUGUUUUGGUUGAAUGAGUAGAAUUGGAUUGUGUUGUGAUGGUAUGCUUGAGUUCAUUGUCCUUUGUGUUCAUGUUUGAUUUGCUUCUUUGAAAUGAUUGUUGGUGUAUUGUGACUUUUGUUCACAAUGACAUCAGUUAGCUAGGUAAAACCUUAGAUAUAUGGGUUUUCUCUGCUCUCUAUAAUCUGUCUUUGCUCAACCCUUUCGUCCCUUCCAUUCUUCCAUACCCAUACAGAUGUCAGACCUUGGAAUGUCAACGACAAGUGAUGUCACUAAAUGCAAAGAAUGCGGUGUGUUGGCAAAUCAAAACAACACUAUAAAUGAAACAGCUGAUGAACAUACCUUCAAGACACUAAAGGAUGAACAACCAAACCAACAGACAAGUGACCUUGGAAAAUGUUGUUGUUGCGAGUAUUAUGGAAUUCCUUGUCGCCAGAUCAGUACAAACGAAAGUGAAACUGCAAAACAGAAGAACCGGAUUUUAUUUUCUGGCAUAAACAGACAGAUGUCUCCCCAAGAACAACUAAUAGCAGAUUCUCUCAUACCUAAUGCACUGUCAGUUGAUGAAUUGCAAAGUAUUCCAGAAAGGAAACAUCACAAGGAUGCCCAGCCCCAAGAAGAAACACAUGAGUGUUACAUUGAUGGAUGGACUAUUACUUGCACACAAUUUCAGCCUUGUCGUCGCAUCAGGUCCAAGAAACGAAAAGGGAAACAUGGAAAAAGUCCAGAAAUAACUUCAAGAAAAGCUUGCUAUUAAUGUGGACGUGAAGGUCAUUACUUCUGUAACUGUCCUGAGAAGAGUUCACUUCAUAUUACCUCCGAGAUGAAGGUAUCUCAGUCUUCAGACAUGGAAUAUGAACAGAAAUGCACAGAAACCUCUACCAACAACGUAAAGACAACUCCACCGCGUAACUUAUCAAGUCAUGCUUGCUUUGGUUGUGGUGAUACCGGCCAUCUUGUUAAUGGUUGCCCUAAGAAAGAUGUGGAGAUCAAUAAGGUCCAAAAGAAAAGACAACACCCUCAAACCCAUGCAUCAACAAAGAAUAAACAAAGGAAAGAGACCAAUGGAAAGAUAAGUUAUGCAGUGAUAGGAACCAUUCAAAGUGAUAAUGCAGUAAUUUUUGGAACACUGGUCAUUCACACAACCAUCGCCACUGUCUUGUAUGAUCCUCGUACAACACAUUCUUUUAUCAGUGCCCAGUUUGCAACAAAGUAUGGUAUCUUUAAGUGUCCCUUGAGAUCGAGCAAGACCAUCAGUGCACCCGAAGGAAAAAUGUUAGUAAACUACAUAUGUCCAAAAGUAAGUGUUAAAAUCAACGGGAUAGAUUUUCCAGCUGAUCUCCUAGUGAUAGAAUCAAUGAGAAAGGAUGUGAUUCUUGGAAAGAAUUGGUUACAAAGAACUAAGGCAGUAAUCCAACAUACUGAGAGAACCAUGUGUUUGGAAAUCCCAUCCGGAGAAAGAAUAGUAGUUGAAGACAAUCGACCUCUAGCCCUGAAGAUUGGUACAUCUGACAUGGAAGAAUAAUGUAUCAUUUAGCUAGAAGGAGUAUGUCUCACGAAAAAAAUGUCAAAGUGUUGCCUCUUUCAAGAUUUGUAAUUGUGCUAAGUGAUAUAUGAAUAAAUUUGGAGAAUCUUUUGCACCUAUUAUGUUUCGCCUCUUUAUAAAGAAAAUAAAGUGUGGUGUCAUCUGCUAUAUGCAAACAAUGUGAUGCUCUACUCUAGUUGCCCUAAAGUCCCGCUCAAGUCUUUCUCUCAAUUUAUACUCAAAGAAUGCUCUUGGAUUAGAAAGAUGAUUUGGAUAUCAUGCUCUGAAAUCUAUAAGGUCCAAAAGAUCUUUGUUAAGGAAUAUAACACCUGUAAACUCUCAAAGUAUGAUGAAGCUAGUAGAAAUCUGAAACCAUCCUUGUUCCUUGACGAAUCUUAUUUUGGAAAUCAAAAAGUUGUGUUCGCCCUUUAUCUUCAUAUCGUACAAGCCUCUUAUGUAAUCUUGUCUCACUAUCUCUUUUGCUCUCUAACCAGAUGAUGAACCCCAAUGGAAAUGAAGUAAAUGAUACCAACGACAAUACUCCUACCUUAACAACCAUGAACGAGAAAAAUGAGUCACCGAGAUAUUCGAUGAAUGGAAUGAAGAACAACAAAAGGAAUAGAAAAAUGUUUGGAUACAUGAUUAGUUCAUCUCAACCACAAGCAAAAGCCAUGAAACAUAUGGAUACCCAAACAGAAGAAUCAAGUCAGGCUCAGCUACAUGAGAUACAGACACCCAAUGAACCCUCACCCCCUGUUGGUCAAGCAAAGUUGACUCGCAAAGAACUCAAAGCAAGAGGUGCUUGCUACUACUGCAAAAAUGAAGGACAUCUUAUUCGCGAGUGCCCCAAGAAGCGUCUGGACCGACUAGAGAAGAAAGCUGCCAAGCAUGACCUAAGCAAUAAUUCAGAAGAUCCACCAUUUUAUAAGUAUGAUGAUGAAGGACGCUUGAUUAGUAUACAUUUUGGAGCAGAGAAGUAAGGAAGUUCCUUAAGUUUGGAGGAGUUCAAUGAGAACUAAGAACCUACAAAUAAACCAUGUAUCUCCCUUUCUUUCGUGCUAGCAUUUUCUUAAUCUCGAGGACGAGAUUCUUUUUAAGAGGGGUAGAUUUGUAACACCAUAAAAAAUCAUCAAAUAAAAGUAAUAAAUUUAGUUAUUAAAGGUAAUUAUGGUAAUAAAUUUUAUUUUAAGUGGUUGCCAUUUAUUUGCCUUUGGAAUGAUUUUUGAUUGCCCAUAAUUGAUUUUUGGUUAUUCAAUAACAUUUCUUCUUAAAUAAAAACCCUAGUAAAUAAAUAAUAUAAUCAGUCCAAAAAUAACUAUAUUAUUUAUAAAUACUUUUGGUUUAAUUAUUAUAAUUUUUUUUGAGUUACUUAAAUAUGUAUUUUGAAUUAGAAAAGAGAAAUUCAAAAGAAAAAAAAAACCUAAGCUAAAUCGGCCCAUUUGGCCCAUCUACCAGCCGACCGCACCCUGCUGCCCCUUGACCUAGCCGUCGCCCACCCUGCUCCUUGCAAGCCGCCGCCGCCAGGGGAGGGAUUUCCUCCCUGUCCAGCCGAGCGGGCCCCACCAGCGGCCGCCCCCUGGCCUUCUUCCUCUGCAUGCCACCCGCGCCCUCCUCUCGAUUCUCUCUCUCCUCCCCUCGCUUCCCUCUCCCCUGCCGCGACGCCCGCGCUACGUCUGCGCCCGUGGAGCCGCCCAACGACGCGCCAGGAGCCCAUGGACGCCGGAGCCGCGCCCUGCCCGUGCCAGCCCCGACGCACAGCCGCCAGGCAACCGGCCCGACCCCGUGCAGCACCGCGACCCUGCGCGAGCCGAGCAGCCGACCGUGUCGAGCCCGUCCGUUUCUUCUUCGCGAGUAAUGAAGUUAAAUGCGUCCGUUCUCCCUCUCCCAUUACUCUCAUCCAUGAACGCCAUGAACGCCAUCAAUGGUGCCUUAAACCCGUCGGCCGCCCUUUACUCUCCCUACCCCGGCGACCUCUCCCCUCCCCUCACUUUCUCUAUAAAAGCGCAGCCGAGUCCUUGUCCCUCUCCAUCCCCAAGCUCGCCCUCUCUCUCCCUCGCUCUCCUCGUGUUCACGCCAUGCUCGCAGCCGCGUCACACGCCCGCCGUCGAACCACCGUUCGUCGCCGUGGUCCUGUCCGCCGUCCGUGGAGCCUCGCCGGAGCAGUCGUGCCCGUCGCCGUUGAAUGCCCUCGCCGGAGCCCCACACGACAUCAAGAAUCCCUGCCCGCCAUUGCCGCGUACCUCUGCUGCUUGCCACCGUGCUGCGCAACCCCUCGCCGAACACCUUCCCCGCACGCGAUUAACCCAAGGUUGAAGACAACUCACUCAUUUAUUUUUUUUUAAAAUCAUAUUUUGUAUCUGGUGAAUUGUUGUUGUAAUAUUGAUGCGAUUUUGCGAUCUACGUGUAUGACUUUAGAGAUUUUCGAUGUAUACGUGUAGUCAAAAUCGAACCCGCGACAAUACUUUGAAAAUGCGUAUGAUUUUAUAAUUCCAAAAAUGAGCACGGUCACUAUUCACUACUUCAGUGAUUUUCAUACUAGAAAUGUUUAUUUCGCUUUAGUAUGUGGAGCGAUAACCGGAUAGUAUUGAUAUAAGUAUAAUAGGAAGUAUGCCACGUAUUCCUAGUCAAAUAAAAAUAUAGAUUUUUCUAGUCAUGAUAAAUAUAAGCAUAACACUUAAUUACUUAGAAUUAGUAAAAUACUUGUUUAUGUCAUAAUAAUCUUGAAUAUGUUAUUAAAAGUCUAAUUAGUAAUUUACAAUUAAUUCUUAGAAUAUAAAUGUUAAAAGAAUUAUAAAUAAACAAUUUUUAGUAUAAGUAUAAAUUCUAUUUAGAAAAGAAAGGAGAAAAACCGGAAUAGUAGAAUUUAUAAUAAGGUUAAAAUUGACUUAACUAUGCGCUUAUAUUUUUAAGAAAUUGAUAGUAUGUUGUUAAAUAUAGGUUUAAUGGGAUAGAUAAUUUGUUCUAAUUUAAAAAUGACCUUUUUAAUAGAUAUCAUAUUUAACAAGAUUCAUUAUAGAUGUUUAAGUAUAGCCGUAUUAAAUAGAAACUUAAAAGUAAUAGGUCAUAUAACUUUUCUAAUUAUUAUAUAAUGGCUUAAUUAAGUGCUCACGUCGUUAUAACUAAAACAAUAGUUAACAACAUACCAAUGAAUAUAAUAUUCAUUUUAAAUAUCUAGGUCAUAUGUUUCUAAACUAAAUGUAAAGACAAAUAAUAGAGUAACUAUAUCCUCUCAUAACCUAGUUAAUCAUUUAAUCAAAAUUAGUUCAUAUUAUUUAUGUGUCACUUAGUUUUUCCUAAAGAAUAACUAAGGAAAUUAUUGUUCAUGUUCUUUAAUAAUAAUGUUAGUUUGUAUAUUGUUUUGUAUAUAGCUUUCUUAAUAAAAUAUAGGACAUGUACUUUCUAAUAAAAAUAAAAUAUAGUUGUUUGUUCAUUGUCUCCUACAUAAAAGCUCAUUUAAGGCAUAUACCAUAACUUUACAUAAAUAAGUGUUUAAUAAUAAUAAUGACCUUUUCACAUAAAACCUAUUUAGACUUAUAUCUUAAUUUAUCAUAAGUGAUAGGUUUAACAAUGAAUUAUAUGCUCCAUAAUGCUUCUAAAAUUAAUAACGUAAUUAGUAGCCCAUUAACCUUAGAUAUAACUUAUAUGUGUUCUGAAAGGUUAAAAAAAAUGUUUAAUAUCGUUAUAACGUGUUUUAUCGUUUUAUAAAUCCUUUAUCUUAGACGUAUCAUAUAUGACGUUUUAUAAAAGAUUAAAUUGGUGAAUCUAAUAUUUGUAUAUUUUACUUAAGAUAUUUAUAAGCUCAUGUCUUGUUUUAUAAAGUAUAAGUCACACAUUUUUGAAAAGAAUACCUUUUUAUUAUAACCCUUGCGUGUAAUGUUUUGAAACGCGAACGCUCUUUUCGUUAGGCUUUCUUUUAGUAUUACGUAUGGUGAAUGUUGUAUGUUAUUGAAUGGUGUUUGUUCUUCUUGUUUGUUUGUGUGAUAUUCAGUGGUUGAUCUAGUAGUUAAGAAUCAAGAUCUAUUCCGAUCCGUGGAAGAACCUCAAGUUUUCAACAAGCAAGGCAAGUGGACUUCUCCCUCUGCAUACUCUGUUUGAUCCCAAACAAUACAUUUAAUAAAGUUUAUUUUUCGAUGAAUAUAUGCAUAAUUUGACGGGUUACCUAUUUAGAUAACCUUUCCAACCUUAUUCCUUGAUGAAACCUGGGAAUUAUACUUUACCUUAAUAGCUAUGCUAUUGCUACAACUUUAAAUUUAUGCAGUCACUCCUAUUUAUGAUACUGAUGUUCCAAAUGGUAAGUUUACUUUAUUGUUGUUAACCCGAUGGUUAAACAAGAUUAUUGCAUAUUAAUUGGAACAUGGAGUGACCACCCGGGAAAACAGUGCUACCAUGAGAACUAUCAUGGCUCUGGUCUUGGCUAAAUAACUAGGGAAGUCUUAUGUUGGGUGCUGGUCGUGGUCGACAGGAACGGGGGCAUCUGGCAAGCUCUUAUAGUUCCGGCUCAGGCAGAUUGGAUACGGGCAUAGUUCCCAAAGCUUUACCCUGUAGUCUGGACUAUAAGUUGGUCACGGUAGGUGUGCCUUAUGCAGUUUGAUCAUUUCCAGCAUUUGCGUAAUGAGGACUCUAGGGAGAAGCCUCGUAGUGAGACCCUGGCCAUUCACCUCGGAAGUGAAUACGGGUCUAGCUAACCCGGGCUAGAAGGGAAUCGCGACUCAUGGGUAAAGAUGCGCCACCUCUGCAGAGUGUAAAACUGAUAUAUCAGCCGUGCUCACGGUUAUGAGCAGCCUGGACUCCUCACAUGAUAAUUGAACUUGAAGAUGG
rnacentral:lncRNA from 1 species